GAUAGCCUACGGGACGCAGCAGUGGGGAAUAUUGCACAAUGGGGGAAACCCUGAUGCAGCGACGCCGCGUGAGUGAAGAAGUAAUUCGUUAUGUAAAGCUCUAUCAGCAGGGAAGAAAAUGACGGUACCUGAGUAAGAAGCCCCGGCUAACUACGUACCAGCAGCCGCGGUAAUACGUAGGGGGCAAGCGUUAUCCGGAUUUACUGGGUGUAAAGGGAGCGUAGACGGCAGUGCAAGUCUGGAGUGAA
rnacentral:rRNA from 1 species